rnacentral:rRNA from 1 species
CCUACGGGAGACUGCAGUGGGGAAUAUUGCACAAUGGGGGAAACUCUGAUGCAGCGACGCCGCGUGAGUGAAGAAGUAAUUCGUUAUGUAAAGCUCUAUCAGCAGGGAAGAAAAUUACGGUACCUGAGUAAGCAGCCCCGGCUAACUACGUGCCAGUAGCCGCGGUCUUACGUAGGGGGCAAGCGUUAUCCGGAUUUACUGGGGGUAACGGGAGCGUAGACGGCAGUGCAAGUCUGUAGUGAAAGGCGGGGGCUUAACCCCCGGACUGCUCUGGAAACUGUACGGCUGGAGUGCAGGAGAGGUAAGUGGAAUUCCUAGUGUAGCGGUGAAAUGCGUAGAUAUUAGGAGGAACACCAGUGGCGAAGGCGGCUUACUGGACUGUAACUGACGUUGAGGCUCGAAAGCGUGGGGAGCAAACAGGAUUAGAUACCCGAGUAGUC